CCUACGUGAGGCAGCAGUGAGGAAUAUUGGUCAAUGGGCGCGAGCCUGAACCAGCCAAGUAGCGUGAAGGAUGACUGCCCUACGGGUUGUAAACUUCUUUUAUAAAGGAAUAAAGUGAGGCACGUGUGCCUUUUUGUAUGUACUUUAUGAAUAAGGAUCGGCUAACUCCGUGCCAGCAGCCGCGGUAAUACGGCGGAUCCGAGCGUUAUCCGGAUUUAUUGGGUUUAAAGGGAGCGUAGAUGGGUUGUUAAGACAGUUGUGAAAGUUUGCGGCUCAACCGUAAAAUUGCAAUUGAUACUGGCAGUCUUGAGUACAGUGGAGGUAGGCGGAAUUCGUGGUGUAGCGGUGAAAUGCUUAGAUAUCACGAAGAACUCCGAGUGCGAAGGCAGCUUACUAAACUGCCACUGACAUUGAUGCUCGAAAGUGUGGGUAUCAAACAGGACUAGAUACCCGGGUAGUC
rnacentral:rRNA from 1 species